UACGUAGGGUGCGAGCGUUGUCCGGAAUUAUUGGGCGUAAAGAGCUCGUAGGCGGUGUGUCACGUCGGCCGUGAAAACCUGGGGCUUAACUCUGGGCGUGCGGUCGAUACGGGCAUCACUAGAGUUCGGCAGGGGAGACUGGAAUUCCUGGUGUAGCGGUGAAAUGCGCAGAUAUCAGGAGGAACACCGGUGGCGAAGGCGGGUCUCUGGGACGGUACUGACGCUGAGACGCGAAAGCGUGGGGAGCGAACAGG
rnacentral:rRNA from 1 species